UGCAGGGGGAGCCAGGAGAGCCGGGAGAGCCGGGGCUGCCCGGCGAGGUGGGCAUGCGGGGAUUCCAAGGACCACCUGGCCUCUCCGGGCCUCCUGGACACAUUGGAGCUCCUGGUCUCCAAGGAGAACGGGGUGAAAAGGGAAACCGAGGAGAAAAGG